CCUACGGGCGGCAGCAGUGGGGGAUAUUGGACAAUGGGGGGAACCCUGAUCCAGCGACGCCGCGUGAGUGAAGAAGUAUUUCGGUAUGUAAAGCUCUGUCAGCAGGGAAGAAAGAAAUGACGGUACCUGACCAAGAAGCCCCGGCUAACUACGUGCCAGCAGCCGCGGUAAUACGUAGGGGGCAAGCGUUAUCCGGAAUUACUGGGUGUAAAGGGAGCGUAGACGGUGCAGCAAGUCUGAUGUGAAAGGUCGGGGCCCAACCCCGGGACUGCAUUGGAAACUGUUGAACUGGAGUACAGGAGAGGUAAGCGGAAUUCCUAGUGUAGCGGUGAAAUGCGUAGAUAUUAGGAGGAACACCAGUGGCGAAGGCGGCUUACUGGACUGUAACUGACGUUGAGGCUCGAAAGCGUGGGGAGCAAACAGGAUUAGAUACCCCGGUAGUC
rnacentral:rRNA from 1 species